AUUGAACGCUGGCGGCAUGCCUUACACAUGCAAGUCGAACGGUAACGGGCCUUCGGGUGCCGACGAGUGGCGAACGGGUGAGUAAUGUAUCGGAACGUACCUUUCAGUGGGGGAUAACGUAGCGAAAGUUACGCUAAUACCGCAUAUUCUGUGAGCAGGAAAGCAGGGGAUCGCAAGACCUUGCGCUGAUUGAGCGGCCGAUAUCAGAUUAGCUAGUUGGUGAGGUAAAGGCUCACCAAGGUGACGAUCUGUAGCGGGUCUGAGAGGACGAUCCGCCAGACUGGAACUGAGACACGGUCCAGACUCCUACGGGAGGCAGCAGUGGGGAAUUUUGGACAAUGGAGGCAACCCUGAUCCAGCCAUGCCGCGUGAGUGAAGAAGGCCUUCGGGUUGUAAAGCUCUUUCGGCCGGGAAGAAAUCGUAUGGGCUAAUACCCUGUGCGGAUGACGGUACCGGCAUAAGAAGCACCGGCUAACUACGUGCCAGCAGCCGCCGCAGUAA
rnacentral:rRNA from 1 species